rnacentral:rRNA from 1 species
GACGAACGCUGGCGGCGUGCUUAACACAUGCAAGUCGAACGGAAAGGCCCUGCUUUUGUGGGGUGCUCGAGUGGCGAACGGGUGAGUAACACGUGAGUAACCUGCCCUUGACUUUGGGAUAACUUCAGGAAACUGGGGCUAAUACCGGAUAGGAGCUCCUGCUGCAUGGUGGGGGUUGGAAAGUUUCGGCGGUUGGGGAUGGACUCGCGGCUUAUCAGCUUGUUGGAGGGGUAGUGGCUUACCAAGGCUUUGACGGGUAGCCGGCCUGAGAGGGUGACCGGCCACAUUGGGACUGAGAUACGGCCCAGACUCCUACGGGAGGCAGCAGUGGGGAAUAUUGCACAAUGGGCGGAAGCCUGAUGCAACAACGCCGCGUGCGGGAUGACGGCCUUCGGGUUGUAAACCGCUUUCGCCUGUGACGAAGCGUGAGUGACGGUAAUGGGUAAAGAAGCACCGGCUAACUACGUG